UACAACUGACCCCGAGUAUGCCGCUACCAAAGAGGAAAGGUCUUCGGGGCAUUUACAAUUAUUUAGUUCAUGGUCAAAGACUGCAUGAACGAACGAUCGAAAAUUUGAAGAUCUUACGACUUGUAGGAGUAUGCCUGAUAUUUUCAUAUGGGUUCACCAAAUACACACAACGGAUGGGUCCGAUGAAAGUGUCGAAGUUGGAGUUGGAGGAUCUUGAAUUACCCGAAAAAUCACAGAGACCAUGAUUUUGCCAAAAGAUAUUGUGUGGAUGGAACUAGAUUCAAGCAGUGACAGAAUGGUGAUGUGUUUUUAGAAGAUGCUGCUCACAAGUCAAGACAUUUGUCAGCUUUCUUUAUGUAUGAAGUGCUGAGGAGUUUUAGAAACCAUGAUUUAGAUUAUAAAGACUUUCGACGAUAAUGAAACCUUAGGUUUGAUGAUUUACUUUCUGGUUUAACUUGGUGUUGAUAUACAAUUGUAUUCAGCCGGUUUGGGUACAUUAGGAUAAAUAUACAGAGCUGCACUUAUAAUGGGACUCAACAUACUGUGUAAUUUUGAAAAAAAAAAUACUUAAAAUAAUUGAAAACUGAUUGAAUAAUUUUUUGAUCAUCCUAAAAUACACAAAUUUUGAAUACAAAUAUGCAUUAUUUCUUGACUGAAUAUGUUUCAGAUUUUAAUUCAGAAAAAAGCGAUGUUGAUUUGAUUUAAAAGCUGAUUUUUAAAACUUGACUUGUGGUAAUAUUUCAAUUCAGUAUGAGUGUUGUGAGGAUGAAUUGUAUGUAGACAAGUUCUUUACAAAAUUGUAUAUACUUAUGUUUUUUCUCUAAAGAAUUGUACAGGUUUAUACAUAAAAAUGUGAUAUGAGGAA